CUGAGACCACCACCAUUCUGGGGGCAAGCGUGUUCAUGCAGGUUCUGUUGUCGGUUUUGGGGAGGCGGUGUGCUUUGGCAGCUGGGCGCCCCUGCAGUUGCUGCUGGGUCACUGUUGGGGCUGCUGCUUUGCUGCUGCUGCUGCCGUGGAGCAUUGAUGUUGCUGCUCCUCCUUGCAGCAUCAGUGCGAGGCGUUGGUGUGAGGGUUAGAACUUUGUUCGACCCUGCUUGUGGGCCGGUGGUCGGCAGGGGAAGUGCGGGGCGUGGCUGUUGUGUCGGCUGCCUAUCGCUGCCUCCUGCGCCUGGCCUUGCCUUCUCCUUGCUGCCCUGGAGUGGCCAAACUGGACGGACUGGAGUGGCAGCCGGCUGGUGGAGGUGUUGCCCAGCUGCUACUAGUGCCCAGCUGGACAGGCCGCCCUCGCUGAGGAUCUGGGCUUGCUGCUGUUACCAUCGUUGCAACAGAGGGAAGGAAAGGGAAGGGUGCAUGUGCCACCUUUGGCGUUUAGCCUCCAACAACAUUCUGGUGAAGAGGUUCCAGUUUCCAGCUCCUUGCCCGUGCUGAGUUCCCAUUUCCAGGCUAGCCAAGCCGCGACUCCCGAGUAGACCUUGCCUUGCUACCACAUCCGCUACGGGACUUUUCAAGUGGAUUUGCAACGAUUUGUUCCUGCUAUUGUUUCAUGGACAGACUUUGAUUUCUGAAAAGGAAGCUAUCGAGCUUCACUUGUGGAUUACAAUUUGGACAUUGCUGAACUCUUUCUGGGUUGCUAUUGACUGUAUAUUAAGGACUAUUUCUUACUCUUUCCACUUUAAAUGCGCAUAGAUAUAUAUAUUCUGCUUCAAUAAACAGCUUGUGUGUUAUAUUGGCUCCGGUCUGGUUUUUGAGUGCUCGCGCUGUCUUGGGGUGCAACAGAGAUAAUGAUAAAUUCAUUGUUCAUCAUGACAAUUCCUACAGUCACCUAUAUUUAUAAGCAGACAGAUACACACACAAUGGAUUCCUUUACCUAGUAUAAGUGAAAAACACUUUUAUCUAAAAGUUGAUAAAACAGUUCCACCAAUUUUCAUCUCCACAAGUAAACUUAUUGUAUACAAUUAUGUAUAAGUCUAACAAUUUGAGUAAAAAUGGAUCCAAACAAAUUGGGUAGACUUAUCCAUGAGUCAAUGUAAGUACUGUACUUUAACCCUCAUAAAAAGCUACCCUGGAGUAGUAAAAAACAAAACAAAACAGAGAGUGGUCCAUCUUUGAAGAAGAUGGAAGGAGGAUUAACCCUUCUACUUUCUCCAUUGAGGCACCACUUCUGGCUUUUUUGAAUGCCUACAUGGGGAAAUGAUGAUGUCCAGGGACACCUAGCCCCCUGAAAUAGUGCCAGUACAUUCCCCUCUUCACAGAAUGAUUCUUGACUUAGUUACAGGUCCAUAAUUUUAGCCCCAAAACCUGCCUGUGAUUUAUACAUGAGUUUGACUUAUAUAUGAGUUGUAUAUUGUAAGUGUCCAUUAUGAUUCUAUAUAACACAAAGAAUUUUAGAUGCUAAACAACUCUAAAAUUCUUUGUGUUAUAUAGAAUCAUAGAAUCAUAGAGUUGGAAAAGACCAUAAGGGUCAAUUAAGUCCGACCCUCUGCCAUGCAGGAAAAGCACAAUCAUUAAAAGCUUCCAAAGAAGGAGCUUCCAUCACACUCCAAAGCAGAGGGUUUCACAGUUGAACAGCUCUUAUGUCAGAAAGUUCUUCCUAAUGUUCAGAUGGAAUCUCCUUUCCUGUAAUUUGAACCCAUUGCUCAGAGUCCUAGUCUCCAGAGCAGCAGUAAACAAGCCUGCUCCCUCCUCCUUAUGACAUCCCUUCACAUGGCUAUCAUGUCUCCUCUCAACCUUCUCUUCUCCAGGCGAAACACACCCAGCUCUUUAAGAGGUUCUGCAUAGGGGAAGGUUUCCAGACCCUUAAUCAUUUUAGUUGCCCUCCUCUGAACACAUUCCAUUUGUCAAUAUCCCUCUUAAACUGUGGUGCCCAGAAUUGAGCACAGUAUUCCAGGUGAGGUCUGACCAAAGCAGAAUAGAUGGGAACUAUUACUUACCUUGAUCUAGAUACUAUACUAUAUAGAUAAUAAUAUUGUUAUUGAAAUAAUCAAUUUCCCUCCAGCUGCUGUGAGGAUUGUAGCUAAGGUCAGUGAGAAUAAUGGAAUCUGAGGAGGUGGCACAUGAUGCCAUUGGGCGCCAGCUGGGACCAGUCAUGCUGAAUUUGUUUUCCUCCAGGAUCAGCCUGUGUCUCCAUGGAGAGGUAUGGUUAAUAUUUGAAGUUUAUGGGUUCAUAGCUCUAGGGAGUGCAAUUAUAAUGCAGCAGAUAAAAUAGAAACUCUGCUGUAACUGUCUCGAUGAACUAUUCCAGAGAAACCUACAGCGUUGCAAAUUCAAAAAAAGACUAUAAUAUUUUUAAGGAGUAGUUAGAAUAUUUGAUAGUAUGUAUUUUGAUCGAGCACUCCUUCUGGGUGUCUCUUGCUCAUAUGAGUACAUGAGACUGUAAACAGGAAGAACAUGAAAUGGACAGCAGUUAAAAAUGAAGAACACAGAAAACGUCAUAGUAUAGUAUAUACAACACUUCUUUCACAGAAUGAAUGUGACACAUUCUGACACCUUAGUUUUAAGAUCAAAGAUUGAAGUAGAAAUAAAAAUACUGCCAUUCCAACAGCAGUGAAAAGUUUGAAUUUGCUCAAUCUAUCAUAAUGAUAUCAUGUUGAUUACAAUUUUGCUGGCAGUCAAUGCUCUGUCCCAAUAUAUGUAUUAAAGAUUUCUCACAUUAAGAGAAUUAAUUCAGAAAUUGAUUCCACUUAUCAGAACU
rnacentral:lncRNA from 1 species